rnacentral:rRNA from 1 species
AAAAAUUUAAUGGCUGCAGUAUUUUAACUGUACAAAGGUAGCAUAAUAAUUAGUUCUUUAAUUAAGGACUGGAAUGAAGGAUUGAACGAGAUAAAAAUUGUCUCUUUUUAAAUUUUAUAAUUUUAUUUUUAAGUUAAAAAGCUUAAAUAAUAUUAAAAGACGAGAAGACCCUAUAGAGUUUUAUAAUUAUAUUAUAUUUAAAUUUUAGAAAUAAAAUUUUAUGUUUAUAUUGAUUAUUUGAUUGGGGUGAUUUUAAAAUUUAAAAAACUUUAAUAUUUUUAACAUUUAUAUAUGAUUAAUUGAUCCAUAAAUUAUGAUUAAAAGAUUAAAUUACCUUAGGGAUAACAGCGUAAUUUUUUUAAAGAGUUCUUAUCGAAAAAAAAGAUUGCGACCUCGAUGUUGGAUUAAAAUAAAUUUUUGGUGUAGAAGCUGAAAUAUUAGGUCUGUUCGACCUUUAAAAUUUUACAUGAUCUGAGUUUAAAUCGGCGUGAGCCAGGUUGGUUUCUAUCUUUAAUUAAAUAGAAUAUUUUAGUACGAAAGGACCAAAUAUUCAUAAAAUUUAUUUAUUUAUGAUUAAUAUUA